ACACUUCUCCAGCAGGGAAAACGCUAUCACCAGGAAGGUGAUUUUCCCUGUGUGAGGUCAAGACCUUGCACUCAGGGUUUGUUGACUCCUGUGAUUUAUCCAAAGUGUGAAAAAUGUGAUUCCACAAUUUGUGGAAGUGUGCUUUCUUAGCUCAA
rnacentral:snRNA from 10 species